CCUACGGGAGGCAGCAGUGGGGAAUAUUGCACAAUGGGGGAAACCCUGAUGCAGCGACGCCGCGUGAGGGAAGAAGGAUUUCGGUAUGUAAAGCUCUAUCAGCAGGGAAGAAAAUGAAGGUACCUGAUUAAGAAGCACCGGCUAACUACGUGCCAGCAGCCGCGGUAAUACGUAGGGGGCAAGCGUUAUCCGGAUUUACUGGGUGUAAAGGGAGCGGAGGCGGCAGCACAAGUCUGGAGUGAAAUGCCGGGGCUUAACCCCGGCACUGCUUUGGAAACUGUGCAGCUAGAGUGCAGGAGAGGUAAGUGGAAUUCCUAGUGUAGCGGUGAAAUGCUUAGAUAUUAGGAGGAACACCAGUGGCGAAGGCAGCUUACUGUACUGUAACUGACGUUGAGGCUCGAAAGCGUGGGGAGCAAACAGGAUUAGAUACCCUUGUAGUC
rnacentral:rRNA from 1 species